UACGAAGGGGGCUAGCGUUGCUCGGAAUCACUGGGCGUAAAGCGCACGUAGGCGGAUUGUUAAGUCAGGGGUGAAAUCCUGGAGCUCAACUCCAGAACUGCCUUUGAUACUGGCGAUCUUGAGUCCGGGAGAGGUGAGUGGAACUGCGAGUGUAGAGGUGAAAUUCGUAGAUAUUCGCAAGAACACCAGUGGCGAAGGCGGCUCACUGGCCCGGUACUGACGCUGAGGUGCGAAAGCGUGGGGAGCAAACAGGGAUUAAGAA
rnacentral:rRNA from 1 species